CCUACGGGAGGCAGCAGUGAGGAAUAUUGGUCAAUGGGCUUACGCCUGAACCAGCCAAGUCGCGUGUGGGAAGACUGCCCUAUGGGUUGUCAACCUCUUUUGUCAGGGAGCAACGCCGACUACGUGUAGCCGGACUGAGAGUACCUGAAGAAAAAGCAUCGGCUAACUCCGUGCCAGCAGCCGCGGUAAUACGGAGGAUGCGAGCGUUAUCCGGAGUUCUUGGGUUUACAGGGUGCGUAGGCGGAAUGCAAAGUCCGCGGUAAAAUCGCGGGGCUAAACCUCGCUCCGCAGUUGACACGGGCGUUCUUGAGUGGGCGAGAAGUAUGCGGAAUGCGUGGUGUAGCGGUGAAAUGCAUAGAUAUCACGAAGAACUCCGAUUGCGAAGGCAGCAUACCGGCGCCCAACUGACGCUGAAGCACGAAAGCGUGGGUAUCGAACAGGAUUAGAUACCCUAGUAGUC
rnacentral:rRNA from 1 species